rnacentral:rRNA from 1 species
ACGCUGGAGGCAGGCCUAACACAUGCAAGUCGAGCGGUAGAGAGAAGCUUGCUUCUCUUGAGAGCGGCGGACGGGUGAGUAAUGCCUAGGAAUCUGCCUGGUAGUGGGGGAUAACGUUCGGAAACGGACGCUAAUACCGCAUACGUCCUACGGGAGAAAGCAGGGGACCUUCGGGCCUUGCGCUAUCAGAUGAGCCUAGGUCGGAUUAGCUAGUUGGUGAGGUAAUGGCUCACCAAGGCGACGAUCCGUAACUGGUCUGAGAGGAUGAUCAGUCACACUGGAACUGAGACACGGUCCAGACUCCUACGGGAGGCAGCAGUGGGGAAUAUUGGACAAUGGGCGAAAGCCUGAUCCAGCCAUGCCGCGUGUGUGAAGAAGGUCUUCGGAUUGUAAAGCACUUUAAGUUGGGAGGAAGGGUUGUAGAUUAAUACUCUGCAAUUUUGACGUUACCGACAGAAUAAGCACCGGCUAACUCUGUGCCAGCAGCCGCGGUAAUACAGAGGGUGCAAGCGUUAAUCGGAAUUACUGGGCGUAAAGAGCGCGUAGGUGGUUUGUUAAGUUGGAUGUGAAAUCCCCGGGCUCAACCUGGGAACUGCAUUCAAAACUGACUGACUAGAGUAUGGUAGAGGGUGGUGGAAUUUCCUGUGUAGCGGUGAAAUGCGUAGAUAUAGGAAGGAACACCAGUGGCGAAGGCGACCACCUGGACUAAUACUGACACUGAGGUGCGAAAGCGUGGGGAGCAAAC